rnacentral:tRNA from 1 species
AGCUAAGAAAAGGACUUGAACCCAUGAUCAUAGAUCCUAAAUCUACCGCAGUAACCUCUUUGCUAUCUUAG